rnacentral:rRNA from 1 species
GAUCAUGGCUCAGGAUGAACGCUAGCGACAGGCUUAACACAUGCAAGUCGAGGGGCAGCAUGAGGUAGCAAUACCUUGAUGGCGACCGGCGCACGGGUGAGUAACGCGUAUGCAACCUGCCCGGAUACCGGGGUAUAGCCCAUGGAAACGUGGAUUAACACCCCAUACGUACUUUUAUCCUGCAUGGGAUGUGAGUUAAAUGUUCAAGGUAUUCGGAUGGGCAUGCGUCCUA